CCCUAGCCCUGAUAGAAGCGGCAUCCUUUUAUUCUUUUUUUUUACGAGAAUAAAAGAUACAGCGUAUAGCAGGAAAUAGC
rnacentral:sRNA from 1 species